GUUUUAAUAGUUUAAUAAAAAACAUUGGUCUUGUAAACCAAAAAUAAGAACUACUUUUAAAGCU
rnacentral:tRNA from 1 species